AUGGGUNGUAAACUUCUUUUAUAAAGGAGUAAAGUCGGGUAUGGAUACCCGUUUGCAUGUACUUUAUGAAUAAGGAUCGGCUAACUCCGUGCCAGCAGCCGCGGUAAUACGGAGGAUCCGAGCGUUAUCCGGAUUUAUUGGGUUUAAAGGGAGCGUAGAUGGAUGUUUAAGUCAGUUGUGAAAGUUUGCGGCUCAACCGUAAAAUUGCAGUUGAUACUGGAUAUCUUGAGUGCAGUUGAGGCAGGCGGAAUUCGUGGUGUAGCGGUGAAAUGCUUAGAUAUCACGAAGAACUCCGAUUGCGAAGGCAGCCUGCUAAGCUGCAACUGACAUUGAGGCUCGAAAGUGUGGGUAUCAAACAGGAUUAGAUACCCUGGUAGUCCACACGGUAAACGAUGAAUACUCGCUGUUCGCGAUAUACAGCAAGCGGCCAAGCGAAAGCGUUAAGUAUUCCACCUGGGGAGUACGCCGGCAACGGUGAAACUCAAAGGAAUUGACGGGGGCCCGCACAAGCGGAGGAACAUGUGGUUUAAUUCGAUGAUACGCGAGGAACCUUACCCGGGCUUAAAUUGCAGAUGAAUUACGGUGAAAGCCGUAAGCCGCAAGGCAUCUGUGAAGGUGCUGCAUGGUUGUCGUCAGCUCGUGCCGUGAGGUGUCGGCUUAAGUGCCAUAACGAGCGCAACCCUUGUUGUCAGUUACUAACAGGUUCUGCUGAGGACUCUGACAAGACUGCCAUCGUAAGAUGUGAGGAAGGUGGA
rnacentral:rRNA from 1 species